rnacentral:rRNA from 1 species
CGUAGGGGGCAAGCGUUGUCCGGAUUUAUUGGGCGUAAAGAGCGUGUAGGCGGCCAGACAGGUCCGUUGUGAAAACUCGAGGCUCAACCUCGAGACGUCGACGGAAACCGUCUGGCUAGAGUCCGGAAGAGGAGUGUGGAAUUCCUGGUGUAGCGGUGAAAUGCGCAGAUAUCAGGAAGAACACCUAUGGCGAAGGCAGCACUCUGGGACGGUACUGACGCUGAGACGCGAAAGCGUGGGGAGCGAACAGGAUUAGAUACCCUGGUAGCCCACGCCGUAAACGAUGGAUGCUAGGUGUGGGCGGUGUCGACUCCGUCCGUGCCGAAGCUAACGCAUUAAGCAUCUCGCCUGGGGAGUACGGCCGCAAGGCUA